rnacentral:rRNA from 1 species
AUUGAACGCUGGCGGCAGGCCUAACACAUGCAAGUCGAACGAGUGGCGGACGGGUGAGUAAUGUCUGGGAAACUGCCCGAUGGAGGGGGAUAACUACUGGAAACGGUAGCUAAUAACGCAUACCAUCGGAUGUGCCAAGAUGGCAGUAGCUAGUAGGUGGGGUAACGGCUCACCUAGGCGACGAUCCCUAGGUGGUCUGAUCGGGUGACCAGCCACACUGGAACUGAGACACGGUCCAGACGCCUACGGGAGGCAGCAGUGGGGAAUAUUGCACAAUGGGCGCAAGCCUGAUGCAGCCAUGCCGCGUGUAUGAAGAAGGCCUUCGGGUUGUAAAGCACUUUCAGCGAGGAGGCGUUACUCGCAGAAGAAGCACCGGCUAACUCCGUGCCAGCAGCCGCGGUAAUAC